AUAUCAAUAAGCGGAGGAAAAGAAACUAACAAGGAUUCCCCUAGUAACUGCGAGUGAAGCGGGAAAAGCUCAAAUUUAAAAUCUGGCGGUUUCACCGUCCGAGUUGUAAUCUAGAGAAGUGUUUUCCGCGCUGGACCGUGUACAAGUCUCUUGGAAUAGAGCGUCAUAGAGGGUGAGAAUCCCGUCUUUGACACGGACUACCAGUGCUUUUGUGAUGCGCUCUCAACGAGUCGAGUUGUUUGGGAAUGCAGCUCAAAAUGGGUGGUAAAUUCCAUCUAAAGCUAAAUAUUGGGGAGAGACCGAUAGCGAACAAGUACCGUGAGGGAAAGAUGAAAAGAACUUUGGAAAGAGAGUUAAACAGUAC
rnacentral:rRNA from 1 species